rnacentral:rRNA from 1 species
AUUGAACGCUGGCGGCAUGCCUUACACAUGCAAGUCUAACGGUAACAGGUCUUCGGAUGCUGACGAGUGGCGCACGGGUGAGUAAUACAUCGGAACGUGCCCGAUCGUGGGGGAUAACGAGGCGAAAGCUUUGCUAAUACCGCAUACGAUCUACGGAUGAAAGCGGGGGAUCUUCGGACCUCGCGCGGACGGAGCGGCCGAUGGCAGAUUAGGUAGUUGGUGGGAUAAAAGCUUACCAAGCCGACGAUCUGUAGCUGGUCUGAGAGGAUGAUCAGCCACACUGGGACUGAGACACGGCCCAGACUCCUACGGGAGGCAGCAGUGGGGAAUUUUGGACAAUGGGCGAAAGCCUGAUCCAGCCAUGCCGCGUGCAGGAUGAAGGCCUUCGGGUUGUAAACUGCUUUUGUACGGAACGAAAAGCCUCUUUCUAAUAAAGAGGGGUCAUGACGGUACCGUAAGAAUAAGCACCGGCUAACUACGUG